CCUACGGGAGGCAGCAGUAGGGAAUCUUCCGCAAUGGGCGAAAGCCUGACGGAGCAACGCCGCGUGAGUGAUGAAGGUCUUCGGAUCGUAAAACUCUGUUAUCAGGGAAGAACAAAUGUGUAAGUAACUGUGCACAUCUUGACGGUACCUGAUCAGAAAGCCACGGCUAACUACGUGCCAGCAGCCGCGGUAAUACGUAGGUGGCAAGCGUUAUCCGGAAUUAUUGGGCGUAAAGCGCGCGUAGGCGGUUUUUUAAGUCUGAUGUGAAAGCCCACGGCUCAACCGUGGAGGGUCAUUGGAAACUGGAAAACUUGAGUGCAGAAGAGGAAAGUGGAAUUCCAUGUGUAGCGGUGAAAUGCGCAGAGAUAUGGAGGAACACCAGUGGCGAAGGCGACUUUCUGGUCUGUAACUGACGCUGAUGUGCGAAAGCGUGGGGAUCAAACAGGAUUAGAUACCCUGGUAGUCCACGCCGUAAACGAUGAGUGCUAAGUGUUAGGGGGUUUCCGCCCCUUAGUGCUGCAGCUAACGCAUUAAGCACUCCGCCUGGGGAGUACGACCGCAAGGUUGAAACUCAAAUGAAUUGACGG
rnacentral:rRNA from 1 species